rnacentral:rRNA from 1 species
UACGUAGGUGGCAAGCGUUGUCCGGAUUUAUUGGGCUUAAAGGGUGCGUAGGCGGUCCUAUAAGUCAGUUGUGAAAUACGGCAGCUUAACUGUCGAGGUGCAAUUGAUACUGCAGGACUUGAGUACAGACGAGGUAGGCGGAAUUGACGGUGUAGCGGUGAAAUGCUUAGAUAUCGGCAAGAACACCGAUAGCGAAGGCAGCUUACUAGACUGUAACUGACGCUGAUGCACGAAAGUGUGGGGAUCAAACAGG